rnacentral:tRNA from 1 species
UCGGUAGUAUAGUGGUCAGUAUCCCCGCCGGUCACGCGGGAGACCGGGGUUCAAUUCUCCGCCGCACAG